UGGCCGCGGUAUUUUGACCGUGCGAAGGUAGCAUAAUCAAUAGUCUAUUAAAUGUGGUCUGGAAUGAAAGGUUCUACAAGGAGUAACUUUUUUAAUUUUAUUUUUGAAUUUUAAUUAUUAGUGAAAAUGCUAAUGUGAUUUAGGGGGACGAGAAGACCCUAUAGAGCCUUAUAUAUUUUAGAUUUUAGUGGUAUUGUUUUUCUUUUAUUAUAUUUUGUUGGGGCGACAGAAAUUUUGAAUCAUUUUCUUAUUAUACUAUAAUUAUAGAUUGUUUGAUCCAUUCUUAAUGAUUAACAGACUUAGUUACCUUAGGGAUAACAGCGUAAUUUUAUUUUAGAGUUCUUAUCGAUAAUAAAGUUUGCGACCUCG
rnacentral:rRNA from 1 species